UACGGGGGGAGCAAGCGUUGUUCGGAUUUACUGGGCGUAAAGGGCGCGUAGGCGGCGCCGCAAGUCGACUGUGAAAUCUCCGGGCUUAACCCGGAAAGGUCAGCCGAUACUGCGGGGCUAGAGUGCAGAAGGGGCAACUGGAAUUCUCGGUGUAGCGGUGAAAUGCGUAGAUAUCGAGAGGAACACCUGCGGCGAAGGCGGGUUGCUGGGCUGGCACUGACGCUGAGGCGCGAAAGCUAGGGGAGCGAACGGG
rnacentral:rRNA from 1 species